rnacentral:rRNA from 1 species
GUGAACUGAAACAUCUAAGUAACCAGAGGAAGAGAAAGAAAAAUCGAUACCGUCAGUAGCGGCGAGCGAAAUCGGUAGAGCCCAAACCGUGAAGGUUUCCUUCGCGGGGUUGUAGGACUCCAAUAUCGGAUUGUGUUGUGUUAGUGGAAGCUUUUGGAAAGGAGCACCACAGAGGGUGACAGUCCCGUACACGAAAAUAACAACACACUGUAGGAGCACCUGAGUAGGUCCAGUCACGUGAAACCUGGACUGAAUCGACGGGGACCAUCCCGUAAGGCUAAAUACUCUUCAACGACCGAUAGCGAACCAGUAGCGUGAGUGAAGGAUGAGAAGAACCCCUGUUAGGGGAGGAAUGUGAACCUGAAACCAUACGCCUACAAGCGGUCGGAGCACUA